CUGUUCCUGGGAGAGUUUUUCUCCAGCCAGAAGGUAACCUGGACACUGGGGGCAAAGUUGGAGAUAAUAAAGGGACUCUAUUGCUUAUCUGACUGUGUUGCCUUUGUGCCACGCCCCAGGUCAUUCCAAGUCCAGAAUUCCCAUCUUAGCAUUAACUGACAUGUGGAAGAGGUGACCAGGUUGAGACCAAGGGAGGGAUCAAACACACCAUCAGUCUCAAGUACCUUCGUGCCCCACAAGAGAUCUAAUGACUCUUGUCUACCACCAAUUUGCUUUGAUCAUUAGUAGUUCAGAUUCUUAUAGGAAGCUUAAGUUUGGAAUAAACCUUUAUAUUCAUUUGUACUGCCUGGAUUUCCUGAUUUCUGUGGGGCUUAAGAAAUACAUAGUGAUUUUUAGUUUUGUUGAUAAAGUUGCAUUCUUGUAGCACCUCUUCUUGCUGAUUUUUGGAACUUACCAAAAGCCCUUCCCACUCAACUACUAUAUGCACUGCUUAGAUGAUUAUCUUAUUAUCUAUGUUCACCAAUGCUCAAAAUGACAUGUAUUUCCUAGAAGG